rnacentral:rRNA from 1 species
AGUGAACGCUGGCGGCAGGCCUAACACAUGCAAGUCGAACGGCAACACAAUGAGAGUUUGCUCUUUCCGGUGGCGUGUGGCGGGCGGGUGAGAUAUACAUCAGACUCCACUUUUUCGUGGGUUAUCUCGUGGAGACGGUUACGCUAACACCUCAUCCGCCCUACCGCAUAAAGCAGGAGCUCUUCGCCUCUUGCCAGCUUGUAUGCGCCGAUGUCGUAUUAGCUAGUUGGUGUGGUAAGGGCACACCAAGGCGACGAUCCGUAGCUGCUCUGAGAGGAUGAUCAGCCACACUGGAACUGAGACACGGUCCAGACUCCUACGGGAGGCAGCAGUGGGGAAUAUUGCACAAUGGGCGAAAGCCUGAUGCAGCAAUGCCGCGUGGGUGAAGAAGGCCUUCGGGUUGUAAAGCACUUUUAUUGGGGAAGAAAAGAGGAAGGUUAAUACCUGGACGUAUUGACGGUACCCAAAGAAUAAGCAACGGCUAACUACGUG